UACGUAGGGGGCAAGCGUUGUCCGGAAUCAUUGGGCGUAAAGCGCGUGUAGGCGGCUCGAUAAGUCCGCUCUGAAAGUCCAGGGCUCAACCCUGGGAUGCGGGUGGAUACUGUCGGGCUCGAGUCCGGAAGAAGCGAGUGGAAUUCCCGGUGUACGCGGUGAAAUGCGCAGAUAUCGGGAGGAACACCAAUGGCGAAGGCAGCUCGCUGGGACGUGACUGACGCUGAGACGCGAAAGCGUGGGGAGCAAACAGG
rnacentral:rRNA from 1 species